AUACGGAGGAUCCGAGCGUUAUCCGGAUUUAUUGGGUUUAAAGGGUGCGCAGGCGGCCAUUUAAGUCAGCGGUUAAAUCGUGGGGCUCAACCCCAUUCUGCCGUUGAUACUGGGUGGCUUGAUUGCGGUCGAGGUUGGCGGAAUUCGUUGUGUAGCGGUGAAAUGCAUAGGUAUGACGAAGAACACCGAUUGCGUAGGCAGCUGACCAGACCGCAAAUGACGCUCAUGCACGAAAGUGCGGGGAUCGAACAGGAUUAGAUACCCUGGUAGUCCGCACAGUAAACGAUGAAUACUUGUUUUCGGCGAUAUAAUGUCGGAGGCAAAGCGAAAGCGAUAAGUAUUCCACCUGGGGAGUACGCCGGCAACGGUGAAACUCAAAUGAAUUGACGGGG
rnacentral:rRNA from 1 species